rfam:Oryza meridionalis cultivar OR44 (W2112) chromosome 10, whole genome shotgun sequence.
AACCUGGUGAUGAUGAUGAGUUGAUCGGCUACAUCUUCGCCGGUCUUGAUGAUGAGUUUGAACCGGUGAUCUCGACCAUCGUCGGGAGGCCGGAUCCAGUCACCAUUGGAGAGACCUAUGCUCAGCUAAUCAGCUUUGAGC